UAUGGCCAUAUCAUGUUGAAACAUUGGUUCCCAUGCAAUCACAGAAGUUAAACAACAUUGAACCUAGCCAGUACCUGGAUUGGUGAUCACCUGGGAAUACCAAGUGCUGUAA